rnacentral:rRNA from 1 species
GACGAACGCUGGCGGCGUGCCUAAUACAUGCAAGUCGAACGAAGCUGUUUUAACUGGUGCUUGCACCGACUUAAACAACUGAGUGGCGAACGGGUGAGUAACACGUGGGUAACCUGCCCCAAAGCGGGGGAUAACAUUUGGAAACAGAUGCUAAUACCGCAUAACCACAGAAACCACAUGGUCUCUGUGUCAAAGAUGGUUUCGGCUAUCACUUUGGGAUGGACCCGCGGCGUAUUAGCUAGUUGGUAAGGUAAUGGCUUACCAAGGCAAUGAUACGUAGCCGAACUGAGAGGUUGAUCGGCCACAUUGGGACUGAGACACGGCCCAAACUCCUACGGGAGUCAGCAGUAGGGAAUCUUCCACAAUGGGGGCAACCCUGAUCCAGCGAUGCCGCGUGGGUGAAGAAGGCCUUCGGGUUGUAAAGCCCUUUAGGCUGGGGAGAAGAAUGUAGGCUGAAUAAUCCUAUAUUUUGACGGUACCAGCAGAAUAAGCACCGGCAAACUCUGUGCCAGCCGCCGCCGUAA